AUUGAACGCUGGCGGAAUGCUUUACACAUGCAAGUCGAGCGGCAGCGCGGGGCAACCUGGCGGCGAGCGGCGAACGGGUGAGUAAUACAUCGGAACGUACCCAGUUGUGGGGGAUAGCCCGGCGAAAGCCGGAUUAAUACCGCAUACGACCUGAGGGUGAGAGGGGGGGAUCGCAAGACCUCUCGCAGUUGGAGCGGCCGAUGGCGGAUUAGCUAGUUGGUAGGGUAAAGGCCUACCAAGGCGACGAUCCGUAGCUGGUCUGAGAGGACGACCAGCCACACUGGAACUGAGACACGGUCCAGACUCCUACGGGAGGCAGCAGUAAGGAAUAUUGGUCAAUGGAGGGAACUCUGAACCAGCCAUGCCGCGUGAAGGAUGACGGCCCUCUGGGUUGUAAACUUCUUUUGGAUGGGGCGAAAAAACGGGAUUUAUCCUGGACUGACGGUACCAUCAGAAUAAGCACCGGCUAACUCCGUGCCAGCAGACGCGGUAAUGUAGUCGUGU
rnacentral:rRNA from 1 species